rnacentral:rRNA from 1 species
GACGAACGCUGGCGGCGCGCCUAACACAUGCAAGUCGAACGAGCGAGAGAGAGCUUGCUUUCUCGAGCGAGUGGCGAACGGGUGAGUAACGCGUGAGGAACCUGCCUCAAAGAGGGGGACAACAGUUGGAAACGACUGCUAAUACCGCAUAAGCCCACGGUGCCGCAUGGCACAGAGGGAAAAGGAGCAAUCCGCUUUGAGAUGGCCUCGCGUCUGAUUAGCUAGUUGGUGAGGUAAUGGCCCACCAAGGCGACGAUCGGUAGCCGGACUGAGAGGUUGAACGGCCACAUUGGGACUGAGACACGGCCCAGACUCCUACGGGAGGCAGCAGUGGGGAAUAUUGCACAAUGGGGGAAACCCUGAUGCAGCGACGCCGCGUGGAGGAAGAAGGUCUUCGGAUUGUAAACUCCUGUUGUUGGGGAAGAUAAUGACGGUACCCAACAAGGAAGUGACGGCUAACUACGUG